rnacentral:tRNA from 1 species
GGGGGUGUAGCUCAGUUGGGAGAGCAUCUGCUUUGCACGCAGAGGGUCGCAGGUUCGACUCCUGUCAUCUCCACCA